GAGUUUGAUCAUGGCUCAGGAUGAACGCUGGCGGCGUGCUUAACACAUGCAAGUCGAACGGGCGAAUUAUAUCGGAGGUCUUCGGGCCGAAGAGAUAAUAAGCUAGUGGCGGACGGGUGCGUAACGUGUGGGUAAUCUGCCUUUGUCAUAGGAGUAACUGCUUGAAAAAGUAGCUAAUACCAAAUAACAUAUCGUAUAGGCAUCUAUAAGAUAUCAAAGAGAAAUCGGACAAAGAUGAGCCCGCAUCUGAUUAGCUGGUUGGUAGGGUAAAAGCCUACCAAGGCGACGAUCAGUAGCCGGCCUGAGAGGGUGAACGGCCACAUUGGAACUGAGACACGGUCCAAACUCCUACGGGAGGCAGCAGUGGGGAAUAUUGCACAAUGGGGGGAACCCUGAUGCAGCAACGCCGCGUGAGUGAAGAAGGCUUUCGAGUCGUAAAACUCUGU
rnacentral:rRNA from 1 species